CCCCGUCCCGCCCCGCCCCGCCCCGGCCCGGGACCCGAGGCCGCGGGCGGGAGGACCCGCCUGAGAUCACCCCUUAGGCCAGGGCCCCUCUGGAUGGCUGUCCUCGCCAUGGAACCCGUCUCGACGGCCCUUUGCUGUUUCUGAGUAACACAGAUCAUUGUCUGUUUCCUAAGCAGCUCCAAGUCCCUAAAGCCCCGCAAAGAUCCAUUCUAACCACCCCAGGAGGCAAAAGGAGGGCAGGUAUGACUUCUGGGGCCUGAAACAGCACCCGAUACCUGCUGUGGCUCAUCGUGUAUUUGUUGAAUGAAUGAACGCUCCACCGAUGGACAAAGGACAGGCUGAGGCAACCUGCCACCGUCAUUAAAGGAAACAGCCACAAACCCAUCAGCAUUGUGUCCCGGCUGCCACGUUCUCCACUUCCACCCCCCUCGGAGCCCCCCGUGCCUGGCUUCCUACGCAGGUAGGGUGAGAGUGAGAAGCGGUGGAGAACAGUGUUAAAAGCCGUGUUAUUCUUCAUUCUCUACCAGGAAUACGGUUCGACCAGAAAAACUGUUUAUGAACUGAUUUCCUGAGAUAACUGCAGAACUGGUAGCUGAGUGAUGACCAAAUCUGGAAGCCCUGGUUUCUGGAUUCACAGAGCAGCCCCCAUCAGUAGCUGGGUCAGACCUCUGUUUGGGUUCUGGAUUGUGCCCAUGGGAGAAGUGACCUCGGGUAACAGGACAACCAAAACAGGAAACCCCUUCGAGAAAUCGGGGGUGCCUGUAGGGGGACAUCUCACUGCAGGAGGGUGCUGGCUGAGUGUCUCCGUGGCUCCAGGAGCAGCGAAUGGUGAGAGAAGAAGUUUAAGGGAGUUGACUCUGCCUCCUGGAGUUUGGGGGCUGACAUGAACCAAGAACAGGGUCACUUGACCAUAGCUCUGUUGACAUUCGGGCCAGUUAACCCUAUGUCAUUGGUCAGGGGAGUUUUCUAAAGGCCAAGAAGAAACUGGAAGAGAGCUGCGUUCUGUCUUGAAGAAGUUCCUCUCCAAGAAAGUGGCCGGUGGGGCAAGGCAACCCCGCAGUCAGAGGCUGCAGGAUGUUGCUCUGGAGGCAGGACCAAAGAGGGAAGCGAGAGACUGUAUCACAUAAGACCUCCUGGAGAAGCCCUCAGACACCCUCAUCCAGAUGAGAUCAAAGCAGGAAAAAGAUAAGGGAGGAGAGAAGACAGCUCUCCUCCUUCCACCCUCAAGAAAACACAAGGCUGUUUCCUGGUUCGACAUCAUCAGGUUGAAUUUGCUGAACAAAUUCAUUACACAAUCAAAAAAGAAUGUUUUUACGCAGACUUCUGCUUCAUUCAAGAUGGAGUAACAGGGACCAGAGUCAGCUUCUUGCCUGAAGCCACGAAAAUAUCAGAUCAAACAUAUGAAACACCAACACUCAAGACUCUGGAACAUCAGGCAACAAAGGAAAGUGAUCCCUGGGAGAGGAAACAGCAAGGUGAUCCCUGCACUGCUCAGCUCGCUGCCUGGAGAGUUUCCAGACUGUGGUUCAAGAAGGAGAAAACUAGCUGAAUGAAACAGACAGAGCUGGAUUCUGGGGAAAUGAAACCAGCUGCUGUGUUCCACCCCUGCCAUGUGCUGCCAAAAAGGCUUGCUGUUCCUGAGACCGCAGCAG